GGUUUUGUUGAUGAUUUCUUUAAUUUUCAGGGAAAAAACUUCUGAAAAUAUAACCAAUACACUCAUCGUUGGUGAGACUCAGAGGCGAGGCCCUAUACACAGAUUAUCAAUACAUGUAUAAAGUUGAGCCCCUACCGAAUGCUUUCACACCAAGACUGUUAGCCCAAUGGAAGUUGGCUGUGUGGAUACUCUUGAGGACCACAAGAGGUCUUGUUUCUUUAAAAAAACAAAACCAAACAAAACAAACCAUUAAGGGCCCAUGUGAAUUGGGGAAUAUGAAGAUACCAAAAAAACAGAAAUAGAGGGAGUUGUCCUGGACAGACCCCAAACUGAGAAGAGUGAAAUAAUGGAUUUUUCCUUUCAGCACAUUGUCUCAUAUGAGAAGAAUGAAAGAUAACUGAUAAGCAACUUCCAGCAAGAAGACAUAUAACUUAUAUUCUGAUUGGUUACUAGUGAUUUGAAUCUAUGCAGAUGUAUCUAAUGCUAACAUAUGUAUGUAUAGUAUAUGUAUUUAUAUGACUAGUCAUAGACUUGAAGCAUUUUUUUUCAUAUUACUAAAGACUUGGCACUAAGUGCCAGUUUGCAAAAAUAUUUUACUUCCUUUUCCAUUAAUUUUAAUUGGCCUGAAUGGAACUCAUUUCAAGUUCCCCUAUUCUUGUUUUUGUGAGAGGCAUUACUUUUUUCUCUCUGUGAGUGUAUCUUUAUUACCUAUAUUGUUUGGUGCUCUUGAAUAAAGGAGAUUUGACAC